AAAAAACCCUGUCUUUUCUUCUUCAUAGUUGCAGCCUCUUUAUCGCUUCUCGUAUUUUUCGUACGAGAGCCUCCUGCAACAGAGCCCUGUAGAGAAAGCGCUAU
rnacentral:sRNA from 1 species